UGAGGCAGGAGAAUUGCUUGAACCCAGGAGGUGGAGGCUGCAGUGAGCCGAGAUCGCGCCACUGCACUGCAGCCUGGCUGACAGAGCGAGACUCCAGCUCA
rnacentral:miRNA from 1 species